GGCGCCUCGCCGUCUCCGCCCAGCAGGUGGCAGCAGAGCGCAGCUUCCGCGCCGCCUCCCCGCCACUGCGCGCUCCGUCCGUUCUCUCCCGCAGCGGUGGCACCGCGCUAAGUGAGAAGGAGCGACGGGGCAAGAAAAAGUUUCCUCCAAGACGCACUCGGGGAAACAGUGGCAGCUGAGCAGCGCCCUAGAGGAAUAUGGAGAGGGGCAACAUGAAGACUCCCAAAGUUGCCAGAGCCAACAGGAAUGGAGCCAUACAAAGCAGAGUGGUUCAUUACAGCACCUAACCCGAGAGACUUUUCUAUUGCCCCUUGGAUGAAGCCUCCUGAAGAGCAAGCCAUAUGCACCAAGACACGUCAGCCUGUACAGUAUGUUUUUGUGUAAUAACAACAUGACUGAGUAUUGACACAGCACCGGGCCCAACAACUGUCAGCACAAACAACACAUGCACUGUUGUUUUUUAUUACUUAAUUACAGGGUUUGGAAUAUUCAGCCAAUUGAACAGAUUAAAUGUCUUAGUCUCUUUGAGGGCUUUAUAAAAAUCCUCUCCAGAGCAUCUAUAUUGCAAAUUAUUUUCUGGACCUAUCUGGCUGCCACUGCCUUGCAUUUGCUUAGAUUUUGGGGGGAACCUAAAAGUAUGUUUCUCUAAAUUAAAUGCCUGAGAGCAUAAUAUAAAAUGUAUUAUCCGUAUUCAACUGUGAAGGGGAGCGUAGUUUUUAAAGAAGACACGAUUAGAGCAUUCCCUGAUAAGAAAAACAUUAAUAUGAAGAGAUGAUCUGUGCAGCUCAGAAAUUUGAAAUUUAAGAAAUACAAAAUUGUGUGGUCCUUGA